AUGCAGUCAAUGGCACCGCUCAGCAAUCUGAAAUCCCUAAGAAGACUAGAUGUCAGAAGAUGCAGCAUCAGGUGCCAUGGACUGCAGGACCUCGCGUGCCUCCAAUCACUUACAGUAAAAGAAUGUGGCAACUUCUUUCUGCGGCCCAUCGAAGCAGCUCACACCAUCAUCAAUCCUUUGCCUUCUUCCCUCGAGGAACUUGAGAUUGAUGGAGAGUCAAGCAUGGAGUUAAUGGCUCUGCUCUCGAACCUCACUUGUCUCACCGAUCUUGUACUGGUGAACUCUGAGAAUUUAACAGUGGAUGGUUUUAAUCCUCCCAUCACAGUCAACCUCAACAGUUUGAAGAUGUACAACAGAGGAAAUUGUCUUAGCCGUUCUAUAUCAGCGGAUUUGUUCUCGGAAUUGGUGGUAGCAAGGACCAACCUGUUAUCGCCUGCAGACAACUGUCAACUACGAGAACUUACAGUGGAUUGCAUCUCAGCAGUGCUUGUGGCUCCCAUCUGUAGCCUCCUUGCCGCUACCCUCCACACUUUAGAAUUCUGGUAUGAUCACCGGGCAGAAAGCUUCACGGAAGAGGAAGAGAGAGCUCUUCAGCUCCUCACCUCACUCCGUUUCAUCAAUUUUAUGGAUUGCCCUAAUCUGUUGUGCCUUCCUCAAGGCCUACACAGCCUUCCUUCUCUUAAGACACUAUUUGUCCAAGAUUGUCCUAAAAUCCAAUCUCUGCACAAGGGGGACUUUCCCACUUCACUGGAGUGUCUAUUAGUGCAGGGUUGCAGUCCCGGGCUACAAGAGCAAGCCAAGCAAUUAAAAGGAACAAAACCAGAUUUUAAUGUGAUACUUGAACUUGAGUAG
rnacentral:rRNA from 1 species